GAAUGUGGCAAUGCUGAACGCAUCUAGGUCGUUUCGAUCAAAUUUUUCUACCUGCUCUUUUCAUUCCUGUUGGAGGUGAUGUGUUCUUAUCAAUAGACCACUAAACAAGAUGUUUUUCAAAUACUGGAUCAUCUUCAAUGCAACAUGUCGCACCGAAGUCUGCAAAAAUUUUGAUCUAUUGACAUGCAGAUACAGUAAAUUAUAUAAAUGAAGGAAACAUGAAAUUACCGAUAAAGAUUGUAAAGCGGCAAGGUAAAGAAUGGCCAAAUCUUCCUCAGUGCUGGAGAGGGUGAGACCGCAUAUCUGCAAUGAAAGAAUCAAA